rnacentral:rRNA from 1 species
UACGUAGGUGGCAAGCGUUGUCCGGAUUUACUGGGUGUAAAGGGCGUGUAGCCGGGUUGACAAGUCAGAUGUGAAAUCCUGCGGCUUAACCGUAGAACUGCAUUUGAAACUGUUGAUCUUGAGUACUGGAGAGGCAGACGGAAUUCCUAGUGUAGCGGUGAAAUGCGUAGAUAUUAGGAGGAACACCAGUGGCGAAGGCGGUCUGCUGGACAGCAACUGACGGUGAGGCGCGAAAGCGUGGGGAGCAAACAGG